GUCGACGCCCGGCUCGCUUGCCGCGACGAGCUUGGCCUUGAUCUCGGUC
rnacentral:sRNA from 1 species